rnacentral:lncRNA from 1 species
GUAAGCUAGUAGUAGCCUGCAUUAAGAGCAUUCUGUGCUAAGGAUCGGCCUUCAUAGUGAUUUCCAUAAAUGUCUUCGUGGAUUGAGCUUAGAACCUUUAGGUCGUCAAGAGGUGCUAGGCAGCGGAGAUAUAGUCUAAUGUAGGAUCUUUAAACGAGAAUGUUGUUCCACAUGUAGUAGCGUGAUGCCUUUAUUUGGAGCUUUCUAGACUCCAACCUUUUCGUGGGGAAAAUGUCAUUGACCAGGUAGUUUAUAACAGAACUCUGCCAGUUUGGAGUUGUACAAACCUGUGACACUUCGGCUGAUGGCUCCGCCUCUAUGCUUGGCUUGUUUAGAUACUGCACCGAAAUAAAGUGUUUGAGUUGGUGGUCGAGGGCGGAGCCUAGGCCGGCUAGUGCAUUUGUGUGAGCAUUGUCUACCCACGAAACUUGAGUGAGGGUGUAAGUCUGAAACGCCUCAAGUAGUCUAGCUAGUGAUUAGUUGGGAACAAGGAAGAAAAUAUCGGUAAUAUCGGAAAUAUCGGUAGUCUGAAAACACGGAAAUAUCGAUGGAAAUAUCGGGAUAAUAUCGAUAUCGAUAAAAAUUACAUGGAAACCACGGAAAUUGUAAGAAAAACUUGGAAAUUUUUAUUGAAACUUUGCAGGAUGUUUAUUUAGUCAAUUAUCUAUUAGUUUAUCACAAAAAAUUGGAAGGAAAUGCAUUGCAUGAUGGAUUUAACUGAUUUAAGUUGAUUAUAUAGCGAACUGGCAAACAUUGUGAAUGUAGAAAAUAUGUAGUAAUUAAUGAAAGAAGUUUAAACACACCAUAAUUAUUUAUAUAUAAUGAAUUAGUACAAUAUUUUACACUUUAUACAUUGCAUGGUAAGAUACAUGAGUGACUUAGUACCACAUAGAGUUCCUAUGAGGUUCAAAAUUUUCACUAUCUUCAUCAUCUCUAUUUGUAGAGUAAGUGUAUUGUGAAGAGUAGUCAGCAACCAUGACAAUGGUUUUCAAGAACCAAAACCCAAAAGUCAAUAGGAAACCGAAUACUUCGGUAUUUUUCGGGAUUACCAAACAAAUGGGAUUUGGAAACCAAUCCCAUAUCGAAAAUUUCGGUAUUUUUCGGGAUGGGAUUCCCGAACUUCAGGAUGGUUUUGGUUUGGGAUUUUUCGGUUUGGGUUUGGGGAUUUUUCGGUUUGGUUUGGGAUUUUCGGGAAUUUUUUCCAGCCGUACCAUGUAAGUGACCAAAUAAAAAAUAGAAAAAUUAAAAACCACAUGCCAUUAACUAAGUAAUUAAUUGACACAAUUUA